UGACGCUUCACCACGGUAGUGGUAGACAGAGCGACAAUAGAAGAGGUGUCUGUUCAUUUCUUGUUUCACAGCGUCUCAAGUUGACAGUCUGUUUCCCAGCAUGGCUGAAACUAAAGGGAAGUUUGAUUUUGCGAUUGAUCGGGGAGGAACCUUCACAGAUGUGUUCGCCUGUUUGCCCGAUGGUAGGGAGAGAGUCCUAAAACUGUUGUCACAUGACCCCCAGAACUACAGAGACGCUCCUACUGAGGGCAUCCGCCGAGUACUGGAGGAGGUGAGGAGGAAGACAUGAAUAUAUUUGGACUUGGAUGCUUAUUGGGAAGAGAGACGGGGCAGAGCUUUGCUCGAGAUCUGG